CCUACGGGAGGCUGCAGUGGGGAAUAUUGCGCAAUGGGCGAAAGCCUGACGCAGCGACGCCGCGUGAGGGAUGAAGGUCUUCGGAUCGUAAACCUCUGUCAGCAGGGAAGAACGGUCACUGUGCUAAUCAGCAGUGAAUUGACGGUACCUGCAAAGGAAGCACCGGCUAACUCCGUGCCAGCAGCCGCGGUAAUACGGAGGGUGCGAGCGUUAAUCGGAAUUACUGGGCGUAAAGCGCUCGUAGGCGGUAUGUCAAGUCAAGGGUGAAAGCCCCGCGCUCAACGUGGGAACUGCCUUUGAAACUGGGAAACUGGAGUGUGUGAGAGGAUAGUGGAAUUCCAGGUGUAGGAGGGAAAUCCGUAGAUAUCUGGAGGAACAUCAGUGGCGAAGGCGACUAUCUGGCACAUAACUGACGCUGAGGAGCGAAAGCGUGGGUAGCAAACAGGAUUAGAUACCCGGGUAGUC
rnacentral:rRNA from 1 species